rnacentral:rRNA from 1 species
CCCCUAGUAACUGCGAGUGAAGCGGGAAAAGCUCAAAUUUAAAAUCUGGCAGCUUUGGUUGUCCGAGUUGUAGUCUAGAGAAGCAUUUUCCGUGCCAGACUGUGUACAAGUCUCCUGGAAUGGAGCAUCAUAGAGGGUGAGAAUCCUGUCUUUGACACAGAUUGCCUGGUGCUUUGUGAUAUGCUCUCAACGAGUCGAGUUGUUUGGGAAUGCAGCUCAAAAUGGGUGGUGAACUCCAUCUAAAGCUAAAUAUGGGCGAGAGACCGAUAGCAAACAAGUACCGUGAGGGAAAGAUGAAAAGCACUUUGGAAAGAGAGUGAAACAGUACGUGAAAUUGCUGAAAGGGAAACGCUUGAAGUCAGUCGCAUUGGUUGGAAUUCAGCCUUAUGGUGUAUUUUCCAGUUCAAUGGGCCAGCAUCACUUUGAAUCGUUGGAAAAAGACAGAGGAAAGGUGGCACCUUUGGGUGUGUUAUAGUCCUUUGUCAAAUACAAUGGUUUGGAGUGAGGCAUGCCAUUUUGUGUAGGAUGCUGGCGUAAUGGCUUUAAACGACCCGUCUUGAAACACGGACCAAGGAGUCUAACAUGCCUGCAAGUGUUUGGGUGUUCAAACCCAUGCGCGUAAUGAAAGUGAUUUGAGUUGGGAAGGUUGUCAUGACCUGCACCGACGCCCAGACUUGAGAUUCA